UUUUGUGUUUAAAAGUUUUCAACCUUGCCGUUACCAUGGUGAUUUGUCAAUAAGCACCGACAUCUUUAAAUACAAAUCAUUUGUGACAGCAUUAAAUAACGCAAAAACAUAAUUUUAAAGGCAGAGAUAUGCCGUGCGUCAAUGAAUUAAAUCUAAAUCGACCUGUACUUUGUAACAAAAAGUCCGGCACCAAGAACUGAAAGUUCUUAAAGUUGUAGCGUCUGGGAUGGCCGGGGGCGGCCGAUGUCUUUGAAAACGGACUCAAAAAUCAUGUUGAAGAUUCCUAACCUCACUUUCAAAUGACACUGUAUUUUGACGUUUUAAUAAAAAAAAUGUAACAACUCA